rnacentral:rRNA from 7 species
CAACUUUUAACAACGGAUCUCUUGGUUCUCGCAUCGAUGAAGAACGUAGCAAAGUGCGAUAACUAGUGUGAAUUGCAUAUUCAGUGAAUCAUCGAGUCUUUGAACGCAUCUUGCACUCAUUGGUAUUCCAAUGAGUACGCCUGUUUCAGUAUC